GUCAAAUCUCACAGCAGCCAGAGUAGGUGAGGGAAUGGCUGGAGGGAAAAUGCCUCUCCCAUCCAGUGAGCACCUCAGGAGAAGAUUCAUAACAGAAAUGGGAGAAAAUUGGUUCUGAAAAAUAUCAAGGAUUCCCUUUGCCGACACUAUUACUGCUCAGCCAGGCGUCAAAUAUCUUGUUUAUUUAAGAAAAGAAAAGACAAUUAUGGCUUGAUCAAAUGAAAUCUUACAUGUUCUCCAGUCUUUUGUUCAUCUUUGUCACUAUGGCAAUGUCUCUAUGGCAAUACUGCAUAAUGAAAAAUAAACCAGACACAGAUCCCUUAUUCCUGUGACUGUAAUCUUU